rfam:Alligator mississippiensis ScZkoYb_69, whole genome shotgun sequence.
GUAGCAUCUCGGCCUUUUUGGCUAAGAUCAAACGUGCAUUUUUUGGCACCAAGGGGAGGAGCGCCUGGUGAGGGCCAUCCCAGCCGCAGCAGGGGAGAUCUGCAUUUUUGGCACCAAGGGGAGUGUGUCAGGGCUGCCCCUGGCUCUCCUAGUACCAGCCCGGUAUUGCAAUACCUCCAGGUCCAGUGCCAGUUCC